UCAUGGAAGAUGCAGACCCAGCUAUAGACUUUAGCACUUGAAGUUGGAGCUUUAAAACGUCUCCAUUUAGUGGGUAAAAAGAGCAAACCUGUUUGAAUGAAAUGAAAACAAAGCUCUGGCAAGAAGGAGAUAAACAUUAACCAAGCAGGCAGCGGGAAGUGCAGUCCACCGCGCUGUGCCCACCUGAGACCAACGCCCCCUUUCUCACGCUGGCAUCAAAGACCCUCUGGUAACACAGCACAUUCUGUCAGACUGUCAGACAGGCUGAAUUAAGUAUCAUUUAAUCGAGCAAUAAAAGUCCAAAGGGAGGCUGCCUGUGGGAACCCGCCCUGAGGAUCUCCUGCAGGACGUGCAAGCAGAUGGCACCGCAGCUGUGGAAAAGGAGGGGACAGGCAGUGACCCCAGCCAGCCACGAGCCCGCCCCACACAUUUGUGCAGGGUGCAGGCCCAAACCCACAGGUAUGUGGACAGUGGGCACCACACUGGAAUGGACUUUGCCAGGAAGCAGGGAUUUCCACCUGCUAUCCUGAAAGAUGCCUCUGCCUGCACACCGUGGAUGGGCAUGGAGCUGGCCCGCAGCCCUCGGGGGACAGACAGACAGACAAGAAGCCAGAACGUCUUCUCUAUGAAAGCUUUCCGCCUUGGCACACAGUAAACCAAUGCAGCGAAAAUACAGAGGACAAAACCCCAAGAUGUGUGUGCCUUCAGAAAAGGCUAGGGCGCAUUCUAAAGUUGAGGCAAUUCAAGAGGAAAUUAAUUCAGCGGAGGACAAAGGCCCAGAGCGGCGCAUCACAGGCUGCCCGCGGUGUCCUGCUGGGGCCGAGCUUGUUAGGGCCAGGCAAGGCCUUUGUGCUCCACCAGCUUUCACAGCCUCAGAAGCCCAGUGGGGCACAAGGAGAUGACGUCACAAACAGGUUUCCCUGCGAGCGCAGCAGGAGGAGCAGAGACCUCAGGGACAACUCCCAUCAGGGCGUCACGGCCUACCAGCCAGCAGAUCCCGCAGGAGCUGAGGCUGCAGGGAAAGCCGGAUGGACGCCGCACGGUAGCACACCCACAGACUCCGCACCCGUGUCUGGGCUCUGCACUUGGAUGGGAGUACGGCCUGCGUCUGUGGAUUCCACGUAAGUCGUGCGACACAGCGAGCUCAGGUAUCAAGCACCUGGGAAGCCGUGGCGCCUGUGCCUGUGACCCCAAAGGGUGAAAUCCUUCCAGGGCAUCUCCGUGUGGUCACUGUGUCCUAUAAGCAGUUUAGGAGGGUUCAUCUGCUUCCAAAUUGUUCCAAUUUCUCCACUUAGUGUUGGAAACUUUACCAUUGGAGAUUAAACGCUUUAUGUGAAAGCAUAGCUCCCACAAAGAUGUCCGUAAGGGAAAGAAAAGGAGUGACCAUAUCUCAGGGGGAAGACACCUUUGCGCUCGCCUUACACAGCCGAGGAAGGCGGUGACAGCGUCCUCCCACCUACAGAGAGAAGACCACAGGGCCCCCUCGUAAACCUGUAGCCACCCGGGUUUGUCUCGGAAUCUGUCCUUCUGUGUUGGAUACGUUGCAGGCAGACUCAGGCCUGGCCUUUCUGGAGUUCGGGGCGGCUGGAGGGAGCAGGACAGACCUACCCUGGCCUCUUCCAGCCCCCAAAUCUGCACAAACCCUGCCUAGACAAGACAGCGGUACUGUCCCUCCCUCAACCCCUCCUCCAGAAUGAAGGCACCGAGGUCUUGGCUUCUCAGUGCCCAGGUGCCAUCCGGCUUUGCCUCAUGGGCUCCAGCUGUACAGGGAGGGCUUCCUGCCAGUCCUUGUCCCGAAACCUCUGGCCAGGGUGGUCUGGCUGGCUACAGCCCACAACUGGCACCCAGCACCUGGAAUCCUCACUGGGAAGCUAAGCCGGGCAGGGGCCCUGCGUCUGUGUCCAGCCAGCCCCACGGUCACUGAGUCCUUCCUGCACCCCACACCCCGUGCUGGACGCAGGGCUCGGCCCGGAGCAAGGCAAAGUGUCUCACUUCUUGGACUUUACGUCUCAGUAAAAAUAGACAGAAAAUGGGUUAAUGAACACAGACACAGCCUCAAAUCGGGGUGAGAUUCAUGCCGUGAAGGCGAAGAACGCAGACCAGGAGGGUAGGUGUGGCAGUGGCCUGCGUCAGGGCCCGCUGGGAAGCAGAGCCAGACAGGACCCAGCCGUCCCACGAGGGCCCGGGAGCCGUCCAAGGAGCGGGAGGCAGAUGUGGGUGUGUACGGAGACAGAGCCAACAAGUAUCGCCACCUUUUGGGGAGAAUUUUGCUAAAACAAGGUGAGAAACAAGAGCUGAGCCGGGCUGGGAGGGUCCCGGAGGGUUUCUGUUGAGACUCUCCUGCUGCUCCGAUGACUUGGCCGACUUGGCCGGCAGGAAGACAGUGAUGCCGCCACAGAGACGGCGAGAGGUCGCCCGGCCGCCACGGCCCCCCCUCCCCCUGGGGCGACAGUGAGAGGUCACCUGCCUGCCGCGGCCUGGUCUUCUCUUAAACACUGAUGUCUUAAGAAGUCAGGAAGCCAUGUGAGAUGAGUGAGACACUGAUUUUAGCCCUACGUUUGUGCGUGCUGCCUCGGCUCAUCCUCUGUGGGGCGGCUCGCCUGUUGCUGUGUGUCUGGCUCUGCCCUGCCCUGAGCAGGGGGCCCAGUGGCUUCCUGGAUUCCUUUGCGGGUUGGGGACGUCCCGGACCCUCUCGGUCCACUGCAGUCACCCAGGUUGAGCCACUUGGACCGAUGGCAAGUGAGCUCCCCUGGUGGGUUCCAGGUUGUCAUCCGAAGAGCAGCCAUGGCCCUAAACACCCCUCCAACCCCACCCCACCUCCGUGCAGGCCCGGAUCCACCCGGCAGGCCACUGCCCUGCAGGCCGCCGCGGCUGCUGCCAGGUGUGACUGCCCUGAAGCCGGACGAGGCACUUCCAUGGCCCCUCAGAACGGAGUGUUGGGGGUUGAAUCGUGGCUUCCGAAGACAGGUGUUGGAGUGCUAACUCCCAGUGCCUCAGAACGUGACCUUGGCUGGAGACGGGGUCUUUAUAGAGGGGACCAAGCUAAAAGGAGGUCAGUGGGGCAGGCCCUGACCCCAGCGCCACGUGGAGCGCGCCCAGAGGAGAUGCAGGCAGAGGACGGGGCGGUGCUUCCACACCCAGGGAGACCUGGGGGUUAGUGCACAGAUGAGCCUCUGCAGUGCACUCAGGAAACACAUAUUUCACCCACGCGUUUGAGAUAGGGACGUGGCUCUUCUUCUCCUAGCAAACAACUUUUGAUUCCAACUUUUAUUUCUUCUCCGGGCUCCAUCCUCCUUCUCCAUCUCUCUCAGUCCCAGGUGCUGCUGGAAUGUCCCCUUUGCUGGGACACCGGAGGACACCCGAACAAACCGGCCUACCUGUCAGAGCCUGGAGGCUGCCCCAAGCCAGCAUCUGUGGUUCCACAUGAGCUGAGGGCCAUUUUAUGCCGGCCUCGCUCUCCCUCCAGCCCUUCUGGGCUUGGCCGGCCUUCCCCCAUCCCCCCGAGCCCUCCCAGCAAUCCUGUCCCAGGUGAGAGAACGAGGCUGGCAUGGAACAGCCCUCAGUUGACGUAGGGGAGCAACGGAUGCCCUGGGCGGGCUGGUGGAUACCAGAACACCCUGGGGACACCUGAGGAUGCCCCGAGGACACCUGCGGAUACCCCAAAGACACCUGAGGACACCUGAGGAUACCCCAAAGACACCUGAGGACACCUGAGGGUACCCCAAAGACACCUGAGGACGCCUGAGGAUGCCCUGACGCCCCGAGGACACCUGCGGAUACCCCAAAGACACCUGAGGACGCCUGAGGAUGCCCUGACGCCCCGAGGACACCUGCGGAUACCCCAAUGACACCUGAGGACACCUGAGGACGCCCCGAGGACAUCUGAGGACAUCUGAGGAUGCCCUGAGGACACCUGCGGAUACCCCAAAGACACCUGAGGACGCCUGAGGAUGCCCCGAGGACCCCUGGAGUAUGGAAAGGUAAAGAUAAGCCCACAUGAAGACGCUGAGAAGCCAAGGAAUGAGAGGAAAGCAUUUCGGAGAAACCAGGGAACGAGAGGAAGGCAUUUCGGAGAGAAUCCAGGGCAGCUGUAGGUUCAUUCACCCCACAGAUGCCUUUGGAGCCCUGCCUGUGCGCUGCCUGUGAAAAGUAGCCCGUGACUUUGUGGCGUUCAGGAGCCAGCAAAAGUCCCGUGUUUAGAAUUCCAGCCUGUGAGCCGGGGACCCCACUGUCCGCCCCCGGGGUGUUUCCCAGGUGGCCCUGAGCUGAGACUCCGUGGGAAGCAGGUGGCUGAGCAGGGAGAGGAGAUGUGGCCAGGUGGGACUCAGGCACUAGCCACCAGGGAUGCUCUGGAUUUCACUCCAAGGCCCCUCUCCAGGAGCCCCAAUGGAGCCGGGAUCCCAGCAGUUGGACCCUGGUGGCAUUUUGUUUUUGAAGUUGGUGUUUCCAGACAAGACACAAAACUGUAGAGUAUGACACAGCCAGGCCGGGUGGGGACUCAAGAGAGGUCAGGGUUGGGACGAGGCCACAACCUCUGGGCCAGGGGGCAUUCUGGGGGCUCCGUGGCAGCACUCAGAAUUCUGCCAGGGCUGGGAGUGGCAGGGGGCAGGGAAAUGCCAUCUGCUUCAGAGUGGGAAAGACUGGGUUCAGUCAACAGAGCUCAGGAGGCUGAAGGGCCUGAAGGAGCCUGGGGUUUGGUCAAGAGGGAGAAUUGGGAUGGAAAGGGGGCACCUAGACCCCAAGAAUGAAGUGGCAGGCGGGGGGUUGGCAGAGGUCAGGGAGGAGCUCCUGGUGGGGACGGACCAGAAGGUUGGGAAACCCAGUCCUGAGUUUCUCAACCUGUGCAGGCUCUGGAGUCCAGGAAGGUCAGCACCAGGGCCCUGCACCUGGCACACCUGGUAUCCCUGCCGGGGGUGGCGGCCGAGGGCCCACACCACCCACACUGGGUGACAAGUCACCUUCAUCCCACACAGAAGCACACUGCGGAAGUGUUCUGACUGUACAAUUUCUAACAGCAGAAAAUGUACACACCGCUUGUGUGAUUUUCUUUAUAAAGAAACUGAAGCAGAUUUUUAUUCUUUAUUGCGAGCAGAUUCAGGUCUCCUGCUUAGAUAAUCUAGAGAAAAGUCCAAUAUAAUAUUAUCAAGUCAGUUUAUCUACAGAAAUAAAAGUUAAAAACAGGAGCAUACAAAAUAAACUUUACAGAAAUGUUAGAUUUGGUUUAAUUUAUAUUUUAACUUUUCAAAGCAGAUUAAUGAAUUAUCAGUUAAAUGUUACUGUGUGGAGGCUUGAUUUAUGUUAAAUGCACCUACUAUGUUUAAUAAUUUAAAAAUAAACUCCAGUAUUUAUGAUGAUGACAGCUAUGGAUACCAUUCAUAUUAAAUACAUUUUUGAAGACCUUCUUUUAUUACAUUACCUAAUGAAUAGACAUUUUAAAUGGUAACGCAGACAUUAUAAUUUUAAGUCAGACACAAUAUAUGCAUAUUAAAAUUCUGUAUACUUUGAUAAAGUAAAAAAUAAAGCUAUAUAAAUUGAUCUUUAGAUUUUUUCUGCAAAAGUAGAAUCACACUUUCAUGACACUUCUAACACAUCCCCAUCAAAGCUGCUUAUAGACACAAUAUCAGAAAGAUUUUCAUUCCAGUUCACCCACCUUUAGCUUAAAAAAAAAAAAAAGAUUGCAUUUACCAACUGACCUUUUUCUCUAAAGUUACAAAUGGGUAACUUCCUAAAGAAAUGUAGGAUACAAGGACCUGCAUAUCAAGCUGUUAGACACUGAGCUGCCAAAUAAAUAAUAUUAACAUUAAAUAAAAGUGGCUGCAUUAUUCAAUACUAGUCAGUGCAAAACACAUAAGCUGAGUGGUUUGAAGAACAAGGCUGGAGGUUUCCUGCUACGGCACCGGACCCCUGGCCAAGGCUCAACUCAGAGAAGUCACAACAGCCUGUCUAGACAUUUGUUUAAACGCUCAGCAAGCCGAGCGGAUGGUCACCCUGUUGGAGAAGCUGCCGCAUCUGGCCUCCUCCCUCGAGGCGGUGUGGCCUGCUUGUUCGCCCCGUCUCCUCCGACGCAGGCCGGGUUGACUGGGGCUUUAGGAGGCCGCGGCCCUUCCCAGCUGGCUCGUGGCAGAAGACCGGCCGUGCUCCCUGACGUGUGCAGGGAUGAGGUGCGGCGUGGGCGUGGCCGGUCCUGCUGUGGCCACCUGGUAGAGGGCUGAUCCAAGGGGAAGUUUCAGCUUGUGGGGCUGGACCUCCCUGAAGGGGAAAGGACCUUGUCCAGGGCACCAAGCGCUGCUCACAGAGCAGCUGGUGUAAGUGAAGCUGCGACCUCACCCCGGGCCCGCUCUGCAAAGCCUAGACAUUCUGCCAGGAGGGGGACUCUUCAUCCCAGGGAGGCCUGGGCUACGAGCCCCAUCUUCCCAUGCCCGGCCAGAGGCCCCUCACAGGGGCCCUCAGGAAGGAGGCAGGAUGCAGUGCGGGACACCAGGACAGUGUGGACUUGCUUGUGGCACAUGUGUGUAUACGUGCAUGGAUGUAUUCGCGUGUGCGGGGCCUGCACGUUUGUGGUGUGUACAUGUGUGGGAGCUCACGUGUGUAUGGUGUGUGCACACGUGUUUACGUCUGGGAACUCAUGUCUGUGGUGUACACAUGCAUGUGCAUGUAUGUAGGAGCCUGUGCGUGUUUGGGGUGUGUACAUGUGCAUGUGUGCAUAUUCGUGUGUAGGAGCCUGUGCAUGCUUAGGGUGUGUACAUGUGCAUCUGUGCUCAUGUGUGCAGGAGCCUGCAUGUGUUUGUAGUGAAUGUACAUGUGCAUGUGUGUGUAUGCAUGUGUACAGGUGAAGCUCAUACGUCUUUCUGGUGUGCAUACACACGUGUGAGAGCAAGCCUGUAGGAGCUUGUACAUGUGUGCUUACAUGUACAUGCAUGUAUCACAUUCGUGUGUAGGAACUUACACCAUUCAUGGUAUGUGCACAUGCAUUGUGUGGAGUGUGCACAGGUCUGUGGUACGUGUACACAUGUGCAUGUACAUGUAUGUCACAUGCUUUGGUGUACAUACACGUGUGUAGGAGCUCACACUUGUGUACAUGUGUGCAUACAUGUGUGCGGGAGCUUGCAUGUUUGUGGUGUGUACAUGUACAUAUGUAUGUGUGUGUUCCCGUGUGCAAGCCUGCAAGUGGACAUGGCUAUGAGUGAAUGUGGAGCCAAAAGCCCGGGACACACAUGUAGCAGGCCCACUGUGCGUGUCUGAGACGGUCUGUGGCAGGGACUGGGCGUGAGUCACACAGCAGGCCCACUGUGUGUGUCUGAGACAGUCUGUGGCAGGGACUGGGCGUGAGUCACACAGCAGGCCCACUGUGUGUGUCUGAGACAGUCUGUGGCAGGGACUGGGUGUGAAUCAGCGACUGUGUCUCUGACUAACAUGCUGAAUUACAAAUUGAUAAUUUACUAACCUGUGCAGCAGCAAAUAAGAUUUUCAAAACUCGACAAAGUGCUCAAAGUUGACAUUACUUGCUUCAAAGUUAGUUUAAGGCAAGUAAAUACUAACUACUGUGAGGUGGAAAAUUGUGUGAAGACCUUGUGACGUCAUUCACUGACGUCAUCCUUUUAGUUUUUAUCUCGUGCCCCUUGUCGAUUUCAAAUGAUCAGGUACAUUCAUUUAAUAAUUUCCCAAGCAAUUUUUUAAAAGACGUUUGGGAGUGUGUAAAAGUUUAGUGACUUUCACACUAAGACUUGUUGUCAGAGGUACAUGGUGACUAUCUCCACACAGGCAGAGCUGGGACCCAGCUUACUAAACCUUCAUGUGAGAAUCUUCUAUUUUUAAGGCUGAAGGAUGGAAAUUAACAAUGAAACACAGAAAGCAGAGGAAAUUGCAACAAAUUGUAAAGAAAAAGUAUAGCAAAUUAUCGUACCUUAAAUAUGCUGUUUAACUAAUCACUGCCACCAGAAAUACCAAGAAAGGAAGAGGUGUGUGUAGAGAAUAAAAUCAAAUCUGAAAAUUCACAUUCAUCAGAGAUUGGAACAUUCAGUCAAAACUCUCACCAGAAUCUAAAUGUAAAGUGGCCAAAAUU